rnacentral:rRNA from 1 species
CGAUGAAGCCGGGGCUUUUUGUUUUGGUGGAUUAGUGGCGAACGGGUGAGUAAUACGUGAGUAACCUGCCCUUGUCUUUGGGAUAAGCCUGGGAAACUGGGUCUAAUACCGGAUAUUCUGCUUUUGCCGCAUGGUGGGGGUUGGAAAGAUUUUUUGGAUGGGGAUGGGCUCACGGCCUAUCAGCUUGUUGGUGGGGUGAUGGCCUACCAAGGCGUCGACGGGUAGCCGGCCUGAGAGGGUGACCGGCCACAUUGGGACUGAGAUACGGCCCAGACUCCUACGGGAGGCAGCAGUGGGGAAUAUUGCACAAUGGACGCAAGUCUGAUGCAGCGACGCCGCGUGGGGGAUGAAGGCUUUCGGGUUGUAAACUCCUUUCAGUACAGAAGAAGCAUUUUUGUGACGGUAUGUGCAGAAGAAGCGCCGGCUAACUACGUGCCAGCAGCCGCGGUAAUACGUAGGGCGCGAGCGUUGUCCGGAAUUAUUGGGCGUAAAGAGCUCGUAGGCGGUUUGUUGCGCCUGCUGUGAAAGACCGGGGCUUAACUUCGGGGUUGCAGUGGGUACGGGCAGACUAGAGUGUGGUAGGGGUAAUUGGAAUUCCUGGUGUAGCGGUGGAAUGCGCAGAUAUCAGGAGGAACACCGAUGGCGAAGGCAGGUUACUGGGCCAUUACUGACGCUGAGGAGCGAAAGCGUGGGUAGCGAACAGGAUUAGAUACCCUGGUAGUCCACGCUGUAAACGUUGGGCACUAGGUGUGGGGCCUUUUCCACGGGUUCUGCGCCGUAGCUAACGCUUUAAGUGCCCCGCCUGGGGAGUACGGCCGCAAGGUUAAAACUCAAAGGAAUUGACGGGGGCCCGCACAAGCGGCGGAGCAUGCGGAUUAAUUCGAUGCAACGCGAAGAACCUUACCAAGGCUUGACAUACACUGCGAUGUGCCAGAGAUGGUGCAGCCUUCGGGGUGGUGUACAGGUGGUGCAUGGUUGUCGUCAGCUCGUGUCGUGAGAUGUUGGGUUAAGUCCCGCAACGAGCGCAACCCUUGUCCUGUGUUGCCAGCAUGUUGUGGUGGGGACUCACGGGAGACUGCCGGGGUUAACUCGGAGGAAGGUGGGGAUGACGUCAAAUCAUCAUGCCCCUUAUGUCUUGGGCUUCACGCAU